AAAUUGUAUUAGUAAUGAUAUAAUCAUGAGAUGCAAGAAGUCAGCAGAGUUCGUAGUACCAAAAGGAAAGAUGCUCGGUUUAAUCCCAAGCUAGAACUUCCUAUUGGGAAGGAA
rfam:Candidatus Taylorbacteria bacterium RIFCSPLOWO2_12_FTLL_44_15c rifcsplowo2_12_scaffold_6304, whole genome shotgun sequence.